GCUCACGUAGCUUACUCAAAGCAUAACACUGAAGAUGUUAAGACGGACCAUAAAAGGCCCCGAGGGCA
rnacentral:tRNA from 1 species